rnacentral:rRNA from 1 species
CAAUAGCGUAUAUUAAAGUUGUUGCGGUAAAAAAGCUCGUAGUUGGAUUUCUACCGAAGAUAGCCGGUCGGGUCUUCGACCUUGUAUCUGGUUUUGUCUUUGGUAUCCUCAUAGGGAACGUUUCUGCGCUUUAUUGCGUGGUUCGGUAUCUAUGACUUUUACUUUGAGGAAAUUAGAGUGUUCACGGCAGGCAAACGCCUUGAAUAUAUUAGCAUGGAAUAAUAACAUAGGAUCUUCGUCCUAUUUUGUUGGUUUCUAGGGCUAAGAUAAUGAUUAAUAGGGAUAAUUGGGGGCAUCUGUAUCAACGCGUCAGAGGUGGAAUUCUUGGAUUGCGUUGCGACAAACUACUGCGAAAGCAUUUGCCAAGGAUGUUUUCAUUGA